UUGGAGGCAAGUCUGGUGCCAGCAGCCGCGGUAAUUCCAGCUCCAAUAGCGUAUAUUAAAGUUGUUGAGGUUAAAAAGCUCGUAGUUGAACCUUGGGCCUAGCCGGCCGGUCCGCCUCACCGCGUGCACUGGCUCGGCUGGGUCUUUCCUUCUGGAGAACCGCAUGCCCUUCACUGGGUGUGCCGGGGAACCAGGACUUUUACUCUGAACAAAUUAGAUCGCUUAAAGAAGGCCUAUGCUCGAAUACAUUAGCAUGGAAUAAUAGAAUAGG
rnacentral:rRNA from 1 species